rnacentral:rRNA from 1 species
UUGAAGACGACGACGUUGAUAGGUCGGGUGUGUAAGCGCAGCGAUGCGUUGAGCUAACCGAUACUAAUGAACCGUGAGGCUUAACCUUACAACGCCGAAGGUGUUU